UAGGGAAUCUUCCGCAAUGGGCGAAAGCCUGACGGAGCAACGCCGCGUGAGUGAUGAAGGUCUUCGGAUCGUAAAACUCUGUUAUUAGGGAAGAACAAAUGUGUAAGUAACUAUACACAUCUUGACGGUACCUAAUCAGAAAGCCACGGCUAACUACGUGCCAGCAGCCGCGGUAAUACGUAGGUGGCAAGCGUUAUCCGGAAUUAUUGGGCGUAAAGCGCGCGUAGGCGGUUUUUUAAGUCUGAUGUGAAAGCCCACGGCUCAACCGUGGAGGGUCAUUGGAAACUGGAAAACUUGAGUGCAGAAGAGGAAAGUGGAAUUCCAUGUGUAGCGGUGAAAUGCGCAGAGAUAUGGAGGAACACCAGUGGCGAAGGCGACUUUCUGGUCUGUAACUGACGCUGAUGUGCGAAAGCGUGGGGAUCAAACAGG
rnacentral:rRNA from 1 species